GGCUGAGAUCCUGGAGCUGUGGGAGGGAGCAGGGCAGGCCUAGCCGAGAGCGAGGACCGGGCCGGGUUGGAGUGGAGGCGGCGGGAGCUUCCGGGCCCGCAGGGGGCUCCGGCUUGGGACGCCCCCUGGGUCUAGCAGUGGCAUCUUUCUUACUUUGUCCGUUCUCCGGGCUCGAGAGCGUGUUUCCGGAGCCAUGUCAGAAGGAGUGGAUUUGAUUGAUAUAUACGCUGAUGAAGAGUUCAAUCAGGACUCGGAGUUCAACAACACAGAUCAGAUUGACCUAUAUGAUGAUGUGCUGACGGCGGCCUCACAGCCCUCGGAUGACAGAAGCAGUAGCACAGAACCACCCCCUCCUGUCCGCCAGGAGCCAGCUCCCAAACCAAACAACAAGACCCCUGCAAUUCUGUACACAUACAGUGGCCUGCGGAGUCGGCGAGCAGCUGUCUAUGUAGGCAGUUUCUCCUGGUGGACCACAGACCAGCAGCUGAUCCAGGUUAUUCGCUCUAUAGGAGUCUAUGAUGUGGUGGAGUUGAAAUUUGCAGAGAACCGUGCAAAUGGCCAGUCUAAAGGGUAUGCUGAGGUGGUGGUAGCCUCUGAAAAUUCUGUCCACAAAUUGCUGGAACUCUUACCAGGAAAAGUUCUUAAUGGAGAAAAAGUAGAUGUGAGGCCAGCCACUCGGCAGAACUUAUCACAAUUUGAGGCUCAGGCUCGGAAACGUGAGUGCGUCCGAGUCCCAAGAGGGGGAAUACCUCCACGGGCCCACUCCCGAGAUUCUAGUGAUUCUGCUGAUGGACGGGCAACCCCCUCUGAGAAUCUUGUACCCUCAUCUGCUCGUGUGGAUAAGCCCCCCAGCGUGUUGCCCUACUUUAACCGUCCUCCUUCAGCCCUUCCCCUAAUGGGUCUGCCCCCACCCCCAAUUCCACCCCCACCACCUCUCUCCUCAAGCUUUGGUGUCCCUCCUCCUCCUCCUGGUAUCCACUACCAGCAUCUCAUGCCCCCCCCUCCUCGAUUACCUCCUCAUCUGGCUGUACCUCCCCCUGGGGCCAUCCCACCAGCCCUUCACCUCAAUCCAGCCUUCUUCCCCCCACCAAAUGCUACAGUGGGGCCUCCACCAGAUACUUACAUGAAGGCCUCUACACCCUAUAACCACCAUGGCAGCCGAGAUUCAGGCCCUCUACCGUCUACAGUGAGUGAAGCUGAAUUUGAAGAGAUAAUGAAGCGAAACAGAGCAAUUUCCAGCAGUGCCAUUUCCAAAGCAGUGUCUGGAGCUAGUGCAGGGGAUUACAGUGACGCCAUUGAGACACUACUCACAGCCAUUGCAGUUAUCAAACAGUCCCGAGUCGCCAAUGAUGAGCGUUGUCGGGUCCUCAUCUCUUCACUUAAGGACUGUCUUCAUGGCAUAGAGGCCAAGUCUUACAGUGUGGGUGCCAGUGGAAGCUCUUCUAGGAAAAGACAUCGGUCAAGGGAGAGGUCACCCAGCCGGUCCCGAGAGAGUAGCAGAAGGCACCGAGACUUGCUUCAUAAUGAAGACCGACAUGAUGAUUAUUUCCAAGAAAGGAACCGGGAGCAUGAGAGACACCGGGAUAGAGAACGGGACCGGCACCACUGAGAAAGGUGGGAAAGAAGCCCUGUUCCUGGCCAGUGGAUUGUAUGUGAACUGGGUGUGGUGGCUCAUGCCUGUAAUCCAGCAUUUGGGAAACCAAUGCAGGAAGAUUGCCAUGAGUUGAAGGGUAGCCUGGACUACAGAGUAAGACCCUGUCUCAAAACAAAAAGAUUUGUAAUAGAAAUAUUCUACCCUCCAAGUUCUUAAUAAAUGAAAGCCUUUGUAACUGUCAUCAUCAAUAAUAAUAUCAUGUAUUAUUACAAUUAAAUCCCAGCUUUUCAACUAAAAGGGAAAACUGAUCAAGGCAGAAAAGAUUAUUACCUUAUUUUUUAUGAUAAAAUAUCAGUGACUUCAAGAUUGAUAUCCAUUAAAAGCUUUAGAGUAGAAAACCAUUCCAAAAAAUAUUUAACAACUUUACAGACCUUGUGAUAUUUUUGUUUUUAGUAAGUUUUGUUAAAAGUGGGAGUUUUGAGGAAUUGCUUUGGAUGAUUGAAAAGGUAGGUCAGUUCUUCUGGCUUGAGGACCACCUCAGCAGGACUUGGGCUUUCUGUCUCUCAGCUCUGCUUUUCUGUAUGUUCAUUCACAGAAAGGUCUCCAUCUUCUUGAAGGAUUAACCUGUAGCUCUUGAGUUUAUCCCACCAUUUUGCAAUCCCAACUGAAAGCUGCUAGCAAGGAUUGUUUAUGGUGUGAGAAAGAAUGGGUGUCGGUUCUGCUUCUGUGGAGGUGUAUAAAAUAGACCAGAUAGGCUAGGAGGCUCUACCUGGUCUGUUGUCUGUCUGAUUGAUUGUUCUGAACACUGGAACAGGCUCUGUAGUUGUUUUUCCUUUUAUUUUAUGUACAUUGGUAUUUUGUCUGCAUGUGUAUCUGUGUGAGGGUAUCAGCCUCACGGACAGUUGUGAGCUGUCAUGUGGGUACUGGGAAUUGAACCCAGGUCCUCAGGAAGAGCAGCCAGUGUUUUAAAAUACUAACCCAUCUCUCCAGCCUUGGCUCUGUAGUUCUUAACUAUAAAUGAUGGCUGGAUGGGGAAAACCCUCACCUCUUGUGCAUUUUCAUAGGUCUUGGUAAACUCAAACCUUAAGUCUGUAAAACUCUGCAUAGGGACAGCCUCCUCAUAGACAAAAAAGCAUUCCUUUGUGAUUGCCCUUUGCAUUGUAGUUAGCGUUAUCUGCCUUAACUUCUUUGGGUUUUUUUGAGAUGGGGUCUCUUUAUGUGGUCCUGGCUGUCCUGGGCUCAUUAUGUAUACCAGGCUGACCUGGAACUCAGAAAAAUCCUCCUGCCACUGCCUCUCAAGAAGCGGUAUUAAAAGCAGCCUGGCACUUAGACUUAAUAGCUGAGAGUGUUUUUGUCAUCUUCUACACAAAGUAAAUGGAAUGAUAAAAAUUGCUGAUGCUUUUAAUCUACACCUUUCUCUUCCUUUUUUUUCUUUUAAGCUUCAUGUUUCUUUUUUCUCCUUAAUAUUUUUAAUAUUUUUCACAUAGUAUAUUCUGAUCAUGGUUUCCCCUCCUUUGUCUCCUCCCAGACCAUCCCACCCCUUAUUUCUCUCCUUCUUUAAAAAACAAACAGGCUUUCUCUUCUUAUCUCCUCUCACAGAAUUCUCAAAUGUAGGAUAACCCACAUAGAACCAGCAGUUAAGCUCUGAAUGGGUUCUGUAUUUGUCUCUCUAGAUUUUUAUAAUAGAUUGAGUUUUGAAAGGUGUCCACAUUAACAUGUAUAGCUUGUACAAAUGUAGGCUAAUGAGGAUGGAAUCUGCAAGUGGCUUUGGCCUUCUUUCUUGUUGGGGAUGGGCAAGGUGAGCAUGGGUGUCUUGGUCUAUCCCUUCAUUAAGUAGCACCAUCACUUAUCUUUUGAGCUAGCACAGUUGAAGCAUUAGCAUUACUUAAAAUCCAAAACAGCCAGUACUGGGUGUUAUGAUCAGACUUGUAAUGCUAGUACUCAGGAGGCUUAGACAAGAAUUACAAGUUCAAGGAACUACAUAGCAGGACCUUGUCUCCCCCUCCCCCGCCCCCUCCAAAAAAAAUUACCUGACAUGAUGUAGUAUUUGGUUUUUGGAAUUGGUUAGGAUAAGAGUGACCUGGGAGAGCCAGGACUUAUAGACACUUAAUCCCCACACUCAGGCAGAAGCAGGCAGAUCUUAGAGUUGGGGGCUACUCUGGUCUACAGAACAAGUUCCAGGAUAACCAAUUGCACUGAAUAACCCUAUCUUGAAGAAGAAGAAGAGGAAGAAGAAGAAAACAAAACAUCUAGAAGGGGAGCUGUUACAUGGUCUAUAUAAAGCAGCAGUUGUAGUCUCUAGGGCCUUAUUCAGUGUACUCUACUAGCAUAGAUGACUGCCUAUUGCCAUUCCUGGUGGCUUUGUCCUUUUGGUAGUGAAAUUACGAGCAAGAUUCAUGAUCCAUCUGAAAGUCCUCUAUUGGUAGUUACAGAAAACAUCUAUUUGGCUGGUACAGGCCUAUGGUGAAAUAAGGAAAACUCACUCUUGGGAGAGGGCCCCAGCUCUGGGGUUUGAGGCUGAUGAGCCAACUGAAGUGAUGGAUCUUUGACUUCUGUAUGCAUUCAGACACUACUGCCAGCCAACACCAGUUCCCUUGAUGUACCAGUUAUCCUGUGCAUCUCAUUCUGAGUCUGGGUGGAAGCAAAUUGUUUUUAAUGGACUUGCAUCUCCUCACCUUGAUCAGGACUAAAGGACGGAGGCCGCUCCACCCCUUCCCCUUCUUCCAAACCCCUAACUUCCUCCAGGCAAAACCCUCUGCCCUGCAGGAUUGAAGAUGGCUUGGCAGCCCUCCCAAUCCCACACCUUCUGUUUGCCAUGGGGGAAGAACCUAAAGACUUGCUGGGGUAGUGAACGAGGGCAUACAGGAAGACAGCAACAUGUCCAGCCCAUAGUCUCCAUAGAGAAUGGUGCUUUGUCCAAGGAAACCUGAGUUUCUGAUUGCCCAGAAGCAGUCAGUGGUGAGGUUACUAUGAGAAAAUUUCCUUCCCAGAGAAAAUGGAUCCUCUAUGUGGGGUCUUAGGAAAGUGACUGGGUGUGCCAAAAAUGCCCAGGGUUCUGCCCUCAGUACUAGAUUUGAUGGGGCCAAAAGGGUCCAAACCCUGCUAACAUACCACUUUGUUCAACUCCUGUACUUUCCUAGCCAGUUGAGGAGGGACCAUGAGAACAGAAACUACCUUGUGACAAGAAACGUGUUCUCAGUUUUCUCCUCACGUGUUGAUGGUUUAUUUCCAUGGCCUCCUAGAGGGCUGAAUCCUUUUGACUCCUUACUAUCUGACUCCUCAGUGGACUUGCCCCUCUGAAACAGAACCCAGGAAGCUUCGGCUAUCUGCCGGAAGCCUAGGCCAGCCAGAUACCACCAUUUGCUGCUUUAGGCUUGUCUGUUUGUUGCAAUAACCAGCUCUUAGGUAUUUCCUUUCCCCAAGGCUUUCCAUUUAACAUGGAAUCCUUCCCCAAGAAGGCUUCUUCCUUGUUUUAGAGGAAGGUACUGCCUUUGGGACUUAGGGAUGUCAUGGGACCUCAGUAACUAGGACCCCUAGUUAAUAAAGUACCAGAAGUGUGGAGAAGAGAGCAAUUUGAGCAGUAUGUAGCCUACUCACAUGGGCUCUUUUGCAGGUUAAUGUGAGCAUAGGCUUGCAUUUCCAAGGUACAUACUUUGACUUAACUGUGGAAUAACUCAGCACUAAUAGGCAGGUAAAGUCAAGACUGGUUUUUGGGGGUUUCUUUUUUGGUGUUUUUGUUUUUGUUUUUAUUCCUUUGCUCUGAUACUUCCCCCGUCACUUUGCCUGGAGGUGCUUCCAGCCUUUAAGAAGGAGCAGAGAAUUGGAGCUCAGAGUUGUAAGGACCAGCACACUAGUGGCCAUUUUCUGCACAAGCAAAUGGAAUUGCUUUUUUCAGCAUCCAGACUGUGAUAGGUUGCUCUUGAUGGAGGUAGCCACAGUCCUGGAGUACCAUAGGGUAAUGUUCCUUCAGCAGGGCCUGUGAGAUCUAAUGUGAAGAGAGACACAACAUGUGAGAUGGGACUUGGUGUGUGAGGCAUGGAGUCAUUGGAGACUCUUCAGAUUCAGAGGGGAGACUGAAUUGGAUGCUUUCUCUCUUCUCGGCACACUUCUGACAGACCCCUUCAGUCACUGAGGGAGUGCCCCCAAGGUUGGAGAGGCACAUUCCCUUUGGACAGAGGCUACAAGUUGUAGCUUAUUUUCCUGUCCCCUAAACCAAUCCCUAUUCCAUCAACAUGGCAUCCUGCCUAAUUUUCUAAGGGUUAAGUGAUAUGCUUAUUCUUGAAAGCAACUCGGGUGUCUUUUUAAAAAAGAAAAAAAUGAAAAAAAAAAAAAAAGGAAAGUGACAGUUAAGGAAAAACAACAUAUAAAAUAUCAGAAAAGCUGUUUACCCAGAGAAUUAUUUUCUCCCCACUUUUAUUUUUACUCAGUGACAUAAUUUUUAGUUUUAUUCCUCAUAGCAAAAGGAGAAAAGCAUCCCAGUCCUCAAAAGGUCAAGGCCCCACCCCUGUUGUCGGUGAUUUGUUUGUCUUUCUGAUAGGUUGAGAAUUGUGUAAUAAACUUGAUGACGAUGUCAAUCUUUUAUACUGCAUUGUAUUUUUUUCCUUUUGUAACAAAAUAUUUUUAAAUAAUAAAUGGGGUGUGAGCUGUUUA